AACUCAGUGUUUGACAUCUGAUGGUAAACGAUUGCAAUUUUUCUACGAUCUUCAGAUUUCUUUUCUUCAGAUUUCCUUCCUAUAUUGACUUUGGGCCUUUUAACAUUUAUUUGACCACCAUACGAAACUUGAUCGAAAUAUACUUCUACAUGUUAUCUGUUGUAUCUACAUUAUUCUGUAUAAAAACAUUCAUUCAUUCACAAUUCAUUCAUAAUUUACUUGAGGAAAUAAAACAAAGAUUGGAUUAAAAACUGAAAAAAGAAACUGAGGAAAUACAUUUUGUCAUGCUUUCCAAUCCUGUCAAUAAUUUAAAAACCCCUCAUUGUCAUUGCAACUUCAUGUUGAGAACUUGUAAAAGUUUGAUUGUAAUUGCCUUGUAAUGUCCACAAUAUGUAUCUGCAGGACUCCUCUAUGAUGUGGCGUGUCCUGGUGUAAACGGCGAGCUGCAAUGUCCUCCGGGACAAGUGAUGGAAGUGAAGGCAGUAGAAUCUGGUUUGGAAAGCGAUGCCGACUGCACCGACAGAACAAAGUCCGCCACGGUCUUGAACGAGGACUCCUUACAUUCGUACAUGAUAUAUUGGAUCAAGCUCACAAAAUGGAAAAGUUGAAAUUGUGGCUGCCAAAUUUGGCCGUUUCGACCAGACCACCUGCACAAAAACCCCUCUGAUUAUGACCUUCGCUGCAAGUUUCGAAACUCAAAACCAAGUGGAAUUCAAGUGCAACGGGUUGGGAUCCUGUUCAGUUGCAGCCGGCAAGGAGGAUCUGGGAGAAACUGUUCCCAGCAAUUAUAACAAUUACCUCAUGGUGGAUUAUAUUUGUGUGUCACAAUAAACACAAGCACUGUCUUGCAAACAGUUGAGGCAA